UUUUUCGUCCUUAAUUACUCGUAAAUAUUCAUUUUCGAUUGUUCUUAUAUAAAAUACGUUUGUUCUCUUUCGAAAUUACUCAUUUUUUGUUUAAUUAAUUGUAUUAGUUGAAUAAAUGUAUACAAAAUAUGUGUACUGCGCAUGCCAUAAGUGUAUAAUCUAUGGCGCAUGCGUCAACUAUAAUGCCUAAACUUUCUACGCGGUUUUAAUCGUGAAAAAAAAACAAUUAUAAAUCCUGAAGGAUCAAUUAAUUGGUAUACAGUUUAAUUAAAAAAAAAAAAACAAAAUAAAUAAAAUAAUGUGCAUUCGCGUAAAGUUAGACCAAAUACAUUUUUUCCAUCCUCCUAUAUACCUAUCGCUAUGAAGGUAUAAAAAAGAUAGGUUAAGAGUUCACAUAGCUGGAAAACUACAUGGAGAAUUAUAUGCAAUACAAGAUAAUGAGCGCCAUCAAAUGAAUUCGAAUGAAACCAAACUGUUUACCAUCCAAAUUCGAUUGUCGGGCAGAUAGAAAACGAAAAUUCACUCAUAGUGAACCUCGGCCUGCAUUUGUGAAACGGCAAAGACUCACUAUUAUCAAGGAAAUUAAAGAGACGACUAAAAAUGAGAUGUGUCGUAUUAUUAUACCUUUGCCAUCUUGUAGUCAAGAUGUCCAGCCACUUGAAAAUAGGUGUAGCAAUGACAAAGCUAUCCAAGUAGCUCCAGCACAGGAACACAAAGGCAAGGCAAGUGUGUAUUGCCACAUCACCCCUUAAUAUAUCUGAAGCAAGUAUAAGUAAACAAUCAGAACCAGCAAAAAAAAAACUGUUGUUCCUGAGGACAAAUUUGACAGUGAUGAGUCAAAUGCACCAGCAACAGAAGGAUCAACUGUUGACUAUGAGUUAUCUCUCUAUAUCUCCACUCCAUCAAAGACUUGUGCACUUCAGACUAUAGCUCUCAAGAAGACUAAAAAGUUGAAAAAAUGAAUGUGUUAACAACUUUAUCUAAAGUGAAAAAUAAACAAUGUUUAUAUAUUGGUCUUCCACAAGAAUUAUGUUUCAUAAUAGGCUUGAUUGAGAAACAUACAAAUGUUUCUGAACAAAAUAUUAUAUUAUGUCUGAUGAGAAUAACAUUAAAUAGAACAUUCUCUCAAUUGGCUGAUGAUUUCGAUUUAUCUGUAAGUCAAGCAAGCAAUAUAUUUUUCAACAAACUCCCAGAAAUUGCAAAUGUAAUAUCACCCCUUGUUAGACUAUAAAAAAAACAAUACAAUAAAUAUAUAUGCAGGAAGGAUAAUUGAUGUCAACUUGGUGGAAAAUAGAAAGUUUUUAGAUAGUUUGCCACCUACAAAACUCUUUAAUUAAAUAAGUAAUCCUUACUUAUAAAUAGGAAGUUUUGUAAGUAUUUUCACUCUUCAUUCAAAAACUACUGAACAGAUUUUAAUAAGACUUUUAUGCUGGUCUUCUAUGGUUAGCAACUCAUUAUUAUUUUGAUUCUGUUUUCCACAAAUGUGCUAAAUAUGGGCUUAUAUAUAUGAAAAGGAAUAAAUAUUAAUGUUAUGUAACCUUUGUACCUGUAUGUUAAGAAUAAUUUUUAAUAAAACAUAAUUUAAAUUGAAA